rnacentral:rRNA from 1 species
UUAAGCAUAUCAAUAAGCGGAGGAAAAGAAACUAACAAGGGAUUCCCUUAGUAACUGCGAGUGAAGUGGGAAAAGCUCAAAUUUGAAAUCUGGCAGUUUUUACUGUCCGAAUUGUAUUCUAGAGAAGUGCUUACCUGUGCUGGACCAUGUACAAGUCUCUUGGAAUGGAGUAUCAUAGAGGGUGAGAAUCCCGUCUUUGACAUGGACUACCAGCGCUUUAUGGUGUGCUCUCAAAGAGUCGAGUUGUUUGGGAUUGCAGCUCAAAAUGGGUGGUAAAUGCCAUCUAAAGCUAAAUAUUGGCGAGAGACCGAUAGCGAACAAGUACCGUGAGGGAAAGAUGAAAAGAACUUUGGAAAGAGAGUUAAACAGUACGUGAAAUUGCUGAAAGGGAAACGCUUGAAGUCAGUCGCAUUGGCUGGAAAUCAACCUGCUCUUGCUUGGUGUAUUUUCUGGUUGAUGGGUCAGCAUCAAUUUUGACUGCUGGAUAAAGUCUUUAGGAAUGUGGCAUCUUUUGGAUGUGUUAUAGCCUAUUGUCACACACAGUGGUUGGGAUUGAGGAAUUCAGCACGCCUUUCAAAGGCCGGGUUUUUUUAAAACCACGUUCGUGCUUAGGAUGCUGGCAUAAUGGCUUUAAUCGACCCGUCUUGAAACACGGACCAAGGAGUCUAACAAGCAUGCGAGUGUUUGAGUGGAAAACUCAUGCGCGUAAUGAAAGUGAAAGUUGAGAUCCCUUCAAAGAAAAGGGGGGAGCAUUGACGCCCAGACCAGACCUUUUGUGACGGAUCUGCGGUAGAGCAUGUUUGUUGGGACCCGAAAGAUGGUGAACUAUGCCUGAAUAGGGUGAAGCCAGAGGAAACUCUGGUGGAGGCUCGUAGCGAUUCUGACGUGCAAAUCGAUCGUCAAAUUUGGGUAUAGGGGCGAAAGACCUAUCGAACCAUCUAGUAGCUGGUUCC